UACGGAGGGAGCAAGCGUUACUCGGAAUUACUGGGCGUAAAGCGCGCGUAGGCGGCUUUGUAAGUCAGAGGUGAAAGCCUGGAGCUCAACUCCAGAACUGCCUUUGAAACUACAUCGCUAGAAUCAUGGAGAGGUUAGUGGAAUUCCGAGUGUAGAGGUGAAAUUCGUAGAUAUUCGGAAGAACACCAGUGGCGAAGGCGACUAACUGGACAUGUAUUGACGCUGAGGUGCGAAAGCGUGGGGAGCAAACAGG
rnacentral:rRNA from 1 species